CGGACGGGUGAGUAGCACGUGGGCAAUCUACCUUUCGGUGAGGAAUACCGGCGAGAAAUCGCCGACAAUACCGCAUAGCCUUGGCAACAAGGAAAGUCGCAAGACGCCGGAGGAGGAGCCUGCGCCCGAUUAGCUAGUUGGUGGAGUAAUGGUCUACCAAGGCGACGAUCGGUAGCUGGUCUGAGAGGAUGAUCAGCCACACUGGGAUUGAGAACGGCCCAG
rnacentral:rRNA from 1 species